rnacentral:tRNA from 1 species
GGGAGAGGCCCGCAAGCAUCGAGGUCUGCUAACCCUCGCCACUCUGGUUGAAGCCCAGAGCUCACUCA